rnacentral:rRNA from 1 species
GACGAACGCUGGCGGCGUGCUUAACACAUGCAAGUCGAACGGAAAGGCUCCAGCUUGCUGGAGUACUCGAGUGGCGAACGGGUGAGUAACACGUGGGUAAUCUGCCCUGCACUCCGGGAUAAGCCUGGGAAACUGGGUCUAAUACUGGAUAUGACCUUUCUCCUUAUGGGGGUUGGUGGAAAGUUUUUCGGUGUAGGAUGAGCCCGCGGCCUAUCAGCUUGUUGGUGGGGUGAUGGCCUACCAAGGCGACGACGGGUAGCCGGCCUGAGAGGGUGAUCGGCCACAUUGGGACUGAGAUACGGCCCAGACUCCUACGGGAGGCAGCAGUGGGGAAUAUUGCACUAUGGGAGGAAGCCUGAUGCAGCGACGCCGCGUGAGGGAUGACGGCCUUCGGGUUGUAAACCUCUUUCAGCAGGGACGAAGCGUAAGUGACGGUACCUGCAGAAGAAGCACCGGCUAACUAUGUG